rnacentral:lncRNA from 1 species
UAGGCACCGAGCACCAUGCUGUGGGCUUUAAGGCACAGCCUCAUUUGAUCCUUCUAACAAUCCCAGGUGGAGAGUGAUCCUGCAUCCCCAUUUUUCUAGAUGUGUCCACAGAGGCUCAGAAGGAUGAGACUUGCCCUAGACCACGCACCCAGUAAAGGGCCAGAUUCGGGCCAUGAGUCUUUGUUGGAACCAUCACAGGAGAAUGCUGGCUGCUCACUG